CCUACGGGAGGCUGCAGUGAGGAAUAUUGGUCAAUGGGCGGAAGCCUGAACCAGCCAAGUCGCGUGAGGGAUUAAGGCCCUGCGGGUCGUAAACCUCUUUUGCCGGGGAGCAGAGGUCCGGACGUGUCCGGGCCGGGAGAGUACCCGGAGAAAAAGCAUCGGCUAACUCCGUGCCAGCAGCCGCGGUAAUACGGAGGAUGCGAGCGUUAUCGGGAUUUAUUGGGUGUAAAGGGUGCGUAGGAGGGCAUUUAAGCCGGCGGUCAAAUGUCGUGGCUCAACCCCGGCCUGCCGUCGGAACUGGGUGCCUUGAGUGGGCGAGAAGUAUGCGGAAUGCGUGGUGUAGCGGUGAAAUGCAGAGAUAUUACGCAGAACCCCGAUUGCGAAGGCAGCAUACCGGCGCCCUACUGACGCUGAGGCACGAAAGUGCGGGUAUCGAACAGGAUUAGAUACCCGAGUAGUC
rnacentral:rRNA from 1 species